rnacentral:lncRNA from 1 species
UUUUUUUUUGUCAUGUUUAUUGGCAUAGAUUUCUCCCGUUGCAUAUUUGCUAGUAAAAAAUAAUGCGAGCUUACUUCUACUUCCUUCAUCCCAAAUUACUAUUUGUUUUGGUUUUUCUAUAUACAUAACUUUUGAUAUGUGCCUACUAGAUACAUAGGCCUUGUUUGUAUCCGCUUAUUUCCCGCUUAUUGGUGGAAAUAAGCAAUAACCCACCCAAACGCCUUGCUUAUUUCCCGCUUGUCACGUAAGCCGCUUAGUUGAUAAUCUGGAAUAGAACUAGCGCCCAGCUUAUCCAGUACGUGGGUCCAGAGUUGCUUCUGGGGCAAGCGGACCAUUUUUCCCCAGCUACCCUUGGCCACCAACGCCUCCAGGCGUCCGACCCCGCGCCUCCCGCAACCGCCGCCGCUCCUGUCCACUCCAGAUCCCGCCGCCGCCGCUCGGGUCACCCGGCCCGCCUCCCUACCUUUGCCGGGCUUAGCCCCCACCGACGCCGCCAGCCAUCCGCCCCCGCGCCUCCCGCAACCGCCGCCGCUCCCGUCCGCUGCAGAUGCCGCCGCCGCCGCUCGGGUCGCCCGGGCCGCCUCCCUACCUCUGUCGGGCUUGGCCCCCACCGCGCCUCCCGCAACCGCCGUCGCUCUCGUCCGCCUGCAGAUCCCGCCGCCGCCGCUCCUGCAGAUCCCGGCGUCGCCACUCGGAUCGGCCGGCCCACCUCCCUACCUCCGCCGGGCUUGGCCCCCACUACCGGCCGCCCCUGAUAUCGACGCUGCGCCCGCCGGGCUUUGCCCCCGUGACUCCCACGACCGCUGCCGGCUCACGUCCGCCGCCCGCCUUCCUGCAACCGACGACGCGCCCCUGAGCUCGGCCCCCGCCGCCGGCCGCCCCUGCCGCCUGGGCUCGGCCCCCGCCGCCGACCGCCCCUGCCGCCUAGGCUCGGUGAAGUGUUGAGGGUAAGAAAAUAAUGUUGCAAACCUAUCCUGAAUUGCUAGGGAUAGUCCCUAAUAUCAAGUCUCUACCCAAUGAAGUUUUUGGUUUGUUUAACCUGCGGUUUCUGGGCCUUCGAAAUACUAGUAUUGAAUACCUACCAGAAGCAAUAGGAAGAUUACAGAACUUGAUAGUGUUGGAUUGUUUCAAUGCCAAGCUAUCAACUUUACCAAAGGGCAUAGCUAAACUUAAGAGGAUGAGGUACUUGUAUGCUUGUACACUUCCUAGCAGUGCUGAAAUUGCACCAACUGAAGGAAUAAAUGUGCCUAAUGGCAUAAGACACUUGACAGGAUUGCAAGCUCUCCAGUGUGUUAAAGCUAGCUUAGAGACCUUGAGCAACGUCGGAGCUUUGACAGACUUAAGGACAUUUUCGGUCUCUGAAGUGUUGCAUAUAUUUGAUUAAUUGCUCUAGGUUGUAUUCCAUGGCUGCGGAUGAUUGUUAUUUCUGCUAACAUGUCAAAUUUAUCUGUAGAUCAAUUUCGUAUGUUCAAUCAUUUACUUCCCCUAUAAAGAUAACAAUUAGCUGUCAAGACAUGAUUGCCAUGUAGGGUCAAAAAAUUACUAUUUUGUAUCAUGUGCAUCCUAAUUAUUCCGCAAAUGACAUUCAGGGAGCUCAUAACUUGUCAACGUGUCUUUCAAUUAUUUUAUUAUUUUAUGUACUUGCAAUUUGCCAAAACUGUCCAUGCUACUUCAAUUAACUACAUUUCUUUUUCACGACUUAUGCGUAACCUUUCUACUUCGUGGUUUAAAUGAAGUCAUUAAUUCUUUUUUCAUUUUGCAUUGGAGUCUCUUUGGAGCUGUAUGAUGAUAGAGUAGCUCAUAACAAUUUUAUGCAUGCGUGCAGUUGCUGCGGAGGAUCUGGACAGCUGUUGCUGCUACGACUGCAAGGCCGCCAACAAAUAGCAAGGUAAAAUUGGUGUCACUUCUUGAUGGAUUGCUAAAAUGACAGAUUGUGGGUUGUAUGGUCAGUAAACAAGCUUGUAGAUUUGUAUUUAAUUCUACAAUACUGUAAUCAAAUUUUAGAUGGAAAAGUCAUCAAAGAUUGUGGCAAAAUGGGAUUCAUUUGCUACGAAAGCUUUCAAUGACAUUUGUGUGGAAGAAGUACUUGCUUUCAAUCGGCCGCAGCAAUGUUUGAAUGUGGUGGGAUAUGCAAACCUUCUUAGAAAGUUUUAUGAGUGUACCAAGAGGCCAUACGGUGAGAGUCAAAUGAAGAAUAGGUGGGAUAUAUUGAAAAAAAUGUAUACCCAAUGGAAGACUUUCAACUUGAGAGCAACCGGAUUGGGAAGAGAUCCUGUUACUGGUUGUAUUGUGGCUGAUGAUGAAUGGUGGGAAGAACAAAAUAAGGUGAGCCCACUAACAAUCCUACUAGAGAUAUAGUUCACAUACACGUUGUUUGUUUUUUUUUGAAUAGAAGGUAUAAUAGCAUGCUGUUUUGGUGAUAUUUUACAGGCUAUGCCAGGUUGUAUCCGGUUCAGGACAGACCCGCUUGAAUAUGAGGAUCAGAUGCGAAUCAUGUUUGAAUCUGUCAUUAUUACAAAUGAAACUUCAUAUGUUCCAAGUGGUGAUGGAAACGUUGAUGUUGAUGAGCAUGAUGUUGUUGAUGUUGGGGGCAACAAUGAUAGGGAGGCACAUAAGGCCCCAUCCAGUUCUGAGCGGAGGGCUCCAAAAAGGCCAGCUCCUAGUUCCCCUAAAGGAAAGAAGAAGAAGACUUUUAGAGACCAGUGCAUGAAGCGUUUGGUCGAUGCAUAUGAGUUGAAAGCUCAAAGUAGUAAAUAUUCAGCUACUUCACAAGUUGUUGAUCACGUUAGAGAUGAGAUUGGAAGUAUGUUGGAGCAAGUCAUUAAGGAUGGGGCUGAGGAGGGGAGUGAUGAACACUUCUAUGCCACACAACUUCUUCAAAAAAAAAGGAGAACCGUGAUGUGUUCAUUACAUUGAAGACACCAAAUGGGAGGUUGAAUUAGCUGAGGAGGGCUUGGAAGAUAAGGAAGAAGCACUAGGGUGUUGCAUUAGUGUGCCAUUUCUCUUUCAUUUCUCUUAUGUUGUGUGAGACAUAAAUUCAAUUUUCUAAGUAUGCUGUGUGAGACUAUGAACCUUCUAUUAGUUGUGUUGUAACAAUAAAAAUUCAUCUGAUGAAUUGGUUAGUGCUUUUUGACAGGCUUGCAUUUGUUUUGAUGAGUACCUCUAGUGCAACUAGUGAAUGUGAAGGCAACAGUGAUUCUGUUCAUACCAUGGAUGUUGAUGAAUCUGAUGAUACUGAUGAUGAUUACAUAGUGGCAAUGCUUGGUCUGGACUACAUGGCAUCAUCUGGUAUGAACAAGAAGAAGAUUACUACUACGAUAGCAAGGAUGACUGGAAUACAGUGGGUUGAGUUGCAACUACAAGAUCCAGUGGAGUGCUUUAACAUGUUCAGAAUGAGGAGGUCAGUUUUCUUAAGCCGUCAUGACACUUUGGUGCAAGAUUAUGAAUUGAGAUCAAGUAGACAAUUUUGUAGCAAGGAAGCACUAGGAAUGUUUCUAUGGGCUUGUGGUGCACCUCAAUAUUUUAGGCAAUGCAAGAAUAAUUUCCAUCGCUCAUUAGAAACUAUGAGUAGAAAAUUUGAAGAGGUUCUUGAAUCUAUCAUGAGAUUAGCUGUUGACAUUGUGAGGCCUAAGGAUCCACAAUUUUCUACUAUUCAUCCUAAACUACAAGAAGCAAGGUUUUGGCCUCAUUUCAAAGAUUGCAUAGGAGCAAUAGAUGGUACCCAUAUACCCAUAAAUGUGCCAUUAGUUGAUCAACCGAAAUACAUUGGUCGGCAUGGGUAUCCUUCACAAAAUGUCAUGGUGGUAUGUGACUUUGAUAUGCGGUUCACAUUUGCUGUCACUGGUUGGCCUGGUUCUGUUCAUGAUACUCGUGUAUUAUUGGACAUGCUUCUCACAUACAAGGAUCAAUUUCCACAUCCUCCCGAUGGUAAGAACGAGUUAUGUUGCAAUUUAUUUUUCAGGGAAUAUUUGCUCAUUGUGAUAUAAUAUAUAAAUAUAACAUGCAGGCAAGUACUAUCUUGUUGACUCUGGAUAUCCUAAUAGAAAAGGAUUUCUUGCACCCUACAAGGGACAGAGGUAUCAUGUUUCUGAAUGGCAGCAUGGUCAGCAUCCGGUAGGAUUGAAAGAAGUGUUUAAUCAUGCACAUUCAUCCCUUAGAAAUGUGAUUGAGCGAUCAUUUGGAGUUCUAAAGAUGAAGUGGCGCAUUCUUUUGAAUUUGCCCAGUUAUCCGGUUAACAAGCAGUCGAAAAUUAUAGUUGCUUGUAUGACCCUUCACAAUUUCAUCAGAGAUAGUGCCGUACAUGACGUGCAUUUUGAAGAGGAUUUUGAGAAAGAUGAUGGUAAUCCAACCCAACCUAGCACAGAUGGUGGUGGUGGUGCUUUAGGAGAUGACAUUGAUAUGGGUGCAUUGCGUGAUGCUAUUGUUGUCGCUAUGGUUUCGUGAUUCGUUGUUGUACCCAUGAUGGAUGUUUCCAUACUAGACCGAUCUAUCAUAUGAAUUUCAUAUUAUUGUAAUGUAAUUUCUAUUUAACAAACUCCAAAGGCAUUAGAAUUAUUGUCUUCUCCUCAGAUUCACAAUAAAAAUGAGCUAUUAUCAGCCUUAGGGGCAUUCAGGUCAAUUUACCAACCAGGACAGACAAUCGACACAAAAUAAUCAGGAUUGCCAAACACCCUACUUAUUCAGACAGCAGAUUCUCCAGACAGCAGGCUUAUCAGAUAAGCUUGCUUGCCAGAUAAGCGAGUUCCAGAAAAGUGUAUACAAACAAGGCCAUACUAUUAUAGAACUCUAGAUACAUAGCAAAAAUUAUGUACCAAAAUAUAUACAGGCUACAAGGCUCUAACCCCAAACAAAGAGGGGAGAGAGGAAAUCUAUGAGAGACUACUCAUCCAAGAAAUUAUCUCCUCUUUUAUUGCUAGUUUGAGCCUUUAAGGUAACCAGUUUUAAUUCUUCCUCAAAACAGAACCUUCAGCGAGCAAAAGACAGUGUACCUCCAUCGAAAAUUAUGAUCUUCUUGUGACACCAUAAAGCCCAUGUUCCUACAAUGACAAACUCUCUGAAUAUGCUUGACUCUCUGAAUAUGCUUGAGCCAAAAUGUUCCCGAGCUUGAAUGGUCAUGUUCAGAGGUUGGAGGCUAGGGUCCCAGUGAAUAUCCAUGUAAAUCCAACAAGCCUGAUACUAAAAGAACAGUUGAAGAAGAGAUGGGAUAAGGUCUCUUCAACUUCUCAAUACAGAGCACACAGUUAUAGUCAUUUAAGUGCAUAUGUUUCCUUCUUAGCAGGUUUCUAGUGUUUAAGCGAUCUCUGAGUUACAGCUAAAAGAAGAGUUUGUGUUUAUUCUGAGCUCUUGACUUCCACAUCCAUUUAAAGAGUGGAGAAGCCGGCAUCGUGCCUUGGAGACAGAUCACUUGCAGUAGCAUAGGUAGGAUGACCAUUUCAUGCAAAAUGGUGAAAACCAAAAGCUAGCUGACCAGCCUGACUUCUCUUGCUUGAUAGGAGUAACUCUUAUCCCUGGAUAAAGUGGAUGCAUCUACUCGAUUGAUCAUAUAUAAGAACUAGACUAAUCCACGAGUUUGGAGAUCACGCAAGUACUAGAAGUCAAUUGGGGAGAGAGGACCUGCUUCAAUCGUAAUGUCUGUCCACACAACACAUUUGCGUGCAGUCACAUCUCGCGCGUGAAAAAUAAGUUCGGUUGCCAGUCGAUAUCCUAAUACGGAGUAGUAAUAUUAAAAGUCAGGAGGAGGAGGAGCCGCCGUGGUAGCCCGCCAUGGGAUGGGAGGCCGGCCGGUCCACGGUUGCGCUGGGACGGGAAUAGCUGUUGGCGGGGGAUCUGGCGCGAAAGGAAAAAGCGCGCGUGGCGCCGAGCGCAUCGGAUCCCCGUCGCCGGCAACGAACAACAACGACUUCUACAACACGCCCCAGGAGCCGUCGUCUCGCGUGGGAGCACGAGCUCGUGCCGUAGACGAACGAGGCGCCGGCGAGGGUCUCUCUCCUCAGUAAAUGCUUGCCACGAAGGAUGGGUUUGCUUGCGUGACGAAAAAAAAGACAGCAGCCAUCUAUAGGUUGUAUGUGCCUAAUAGUCUUUUACAUUAGUACAUACUUCCCUGAGGUUUGAUGUUGCUCAAAAGAUGUUCAUGCCGCGCACGUCUCUGUGCGGUCCUAGGUACGGUGUGCCUACCUACGAGGCACCAUCAAAUACGUACUUAUAUAAGCACAUGCCCAGAAAGUUUUUAUUUCUAUAGAAAUUGUCCAGAAAGCUUUUUUUUCUUUAGAAAUUGUUCAGAAUGCUUUGGAAUUAGGUGAAUGACACGUAUGUUUACGUGCAGGGUCCCAGUUACUUGGAUAAGCAAAGAGGCGUUUCAUUGCCCUUAAUUUCUAGGGUUGUUGAGCGCGCGUCGAUCGGAGCCGUGGGGGGAACCACCCUACCCGUCGAAUCUCGUCCAUGCAUUCACCAUCGCCCACACCCUCCCACCUCUCAGCAUGCAGCUGCAAACUUGCCAAGUUUCUUGCCGUGCUGCCGCUGCUGACGUGGUGCGCCGGCCGACACCGCGCGUUCCCUUGAGGUUGCAGGUCGACCGGUCAGAGCCACUGCCCACUGGACGUCUGGAUGUAGUAACUUGAUCUACAGUAUUUUCAUGCCGUGGAAGUGUAUCCGUUUAAUGUCGCUCCUCGUAUGAUUGCCACGUACAACGACCACAUGAAAGCUUGCGGCUCGCGAGCUGCUCAAGGUCAUCGCAUCAGCUCGCAAAAUUAAUUAAUGAGGCAAUUGUAUACUCAUUGACUUACGCGACGUAAGAGCGCGGAGGUGCUAGUGUGCUACGUUUAACAAGCGCGCACGCACGGACCUAAUCAAACCAAGGGUCUUGUUUAGUUCACCUCCAAAUCCUAACUUUGGCACUAUGUAAAAAGAAGAUUCCCCAUCACAUCAAACUUGCGGUACAUGCAUGAAGUACUGAAUGUAGACGAAAUUAAAAACUAAUUGCAUAGUUUUAUUGUACUUUGCGAGACGAAUCUUUUGAGCCUAAUUAGUCAAUAUUUGGACAAUAAUUCACAAAUACAAACGAAACGCUACAGUAUUGCUACAGUAAUUUGGGUACCUCAAAGUUGGGCGACUAAACAAGGCUCAAGCAAAAUUCAUUGUCAACGCUCAAGUCUUGGCCUGUUCGUUAAAAAAAUGUCAACGCUAAAGCUGGGAAGCAUUUGAUUAAAAAUAACGAGCCGAACUCAUGAUUUGGUUUUGCUUUUAGGACACUGAUUCUACGAGAAAUGUAAUUUUUAACAAGCUUGAUUGAACGGACUUGAGCCAGAACCAAAUUCAUGGUUUUCGGAAAGGCCCUGGAAAUCUAGCCGUGUCCUCUUGUGAUCCUAAAUGACAAAAAAAAAUUCUAUUUGUUGCACUCUCCGAACAAGAGCGUAACCCUUCACUAGAAAACGCCAUUGCUUGCUACCGUUGCCGGUUUUGCAAUGUACCGGUAAAGUCUAUUAAAAAAAUAAAGAAAAAUUGAAAUCCCCGGUCCCGCCCCGCCGCCCCCUCCAACCGUCAGCCCCCGCCGCCCGCCCCUCCCCUCCGCCUCCGCCCCGCCGCCGCUACCGCCCUCCGCUGUCGCCGCCCCUCCGCCAUCGCUGCCGCCCCACUCCGCCGCUGCCGCAGCCAUGAGAGAGAGAGGAAGCUGUGAGAGAGAGAGGACAAAGAGAUAGCAGUGAGAGAGCUACGGGAGACGGGAGGAUAAGGAUAGGAAAGAGACAGAGCGGUGGAAAAAUGAAAUAAAAAUGAUUAUAGGCAAAAAAUGUUUUGAAUAAAAAUGAAAUAAAUGUUUCUUUGUUUUUUUUACUAGAAGGAGAAUCACCUAAAUGGACGUUCCCGAUAAAAUCACUUCCUCUUAUUAUGUGCAACCUUCCAGGAAUCUGAAACCCUCUUACUAGUCAAACGAGUCAUAAAGUGAUUCUGAUCCAUCACUAGAGAAAAAGUUUCCGAAGAGAAAUAAAAUUAGAAACAGGUAUUGGAUAAUCCGAAAUCCUACCAAACAUGGCCUAACAAAUGGAGCUUGAUUUUCUGCUCCGAAAAAGCCUAACCCAGCAGCCUAGCAGGGGCUACUACUAUUUCGAGGAACUUGUGUGGCCGAACCUCAAGCUAGCUGGCAGACGUGUAUAUCUGGCGUGAUCUUGUAUGACGGUUGAUAGGUCCAAAACCGGAAAGAGCAAGCAGCUCCAAUUCCGCGGUGAACUAACGACCUGCUUUGCUACCCCUGCCGCAACGACGUGCAUUCACAAACAAAUUUUCUCUGCAUCUCGAGAAGAAAGAUAGCUCAAAUUCAAAGCCUUUCUUGGCAAAUUUUCCAUCAGGACGAACCUGAAAUUUGACCGCUAAAAUGGCAGCUCUAGCUGUCCCAGGCUUCAGCUGGACGUCAGUUACUUUCGCGGCGUUUUCCUCCCUGAGAAAACGCCUAUAAAUUGACUGGCCACCCGUGUCCAUUUUUCCACCCAACUACAACCAAACGCAACGAAGUCCCGCGCACGCAAAGAAGUCGAGCUCGCUCACGUCCAAACCGACGCGACCAUGGAGGCCGCGCCGUCAACGGCGGCGGUCAUGGAGCGCGAGCGCCUCACUGCCGAGGUGGACGUCGUCGCCGAGGCCGCCGCGGCGCAGCCCAGCAGCUUCGUCGUCAAGAUCCGCCGCCGGCUGCCGGACUUCGCGCGGAGCGUCAACCUCAAGUACGUCCGCCUCGGCCUGCGCUCCGGCGGCCUCCCCACGGCCUCGUCCUGGGUCCCGCUCGCGCUCGCGCCGCCGCUCCUCGCCGCCGCGGCGCACUCGCUCGUCGGCGUGGACAAGCUCUACUCGCUCGACCUGCUCACCUGCGUCGCGUGGCUCGGCGCCGCCGCGCUGCUUCUCACGGUGUACUUCCUUAAGCGCCCCCGGCCGGUGUACCUGGUGGACUUCGCGUGCUACAGGCCCGGCGACGAGCACUCCAUCUCCAAGGAGGGGUUCCUGGAGAUGACCGAGAGCACGGGCUUCUUCAACGCCGAGGCGCUCGAGUUCCAGACCAAGAUCACCAGGCGCUCGGGCCUCGGCGACCAGACGUACCUCCCGCCGGGGAUCCAGGCGCGGCCUCCGCGGCUGUCGAUGGCCGAGGCCCGCGCGGAGGCCGAGGCCGUCAUGUUCGGCUGCCUCAACGCGCUGUUCGCGGCCACGGGGAUCGACCCGCGCCGCGACGUGCGCGUGCUCAUCGUCAACUGCAGCCUCUUCAACCCGACGCCGUCGCUGGCGUCCAUGGUGGUGCACCGGUACAGGAUGCGGGAGGACGUCAAGUCGUUCAACCUCGGCGGCAUGGGCUGCAGCGCCGGGCUCAUCGCCGUGGACCUCGCCAGGGACAUGCUCCAGGCGAACCCCGGGUGCUACGCUGUGGUGGUGAGCACCGAGAACAUCACGCUCAACUGGUACUUCGGCAACGACCGCUCCAUGCUGCUGUCCAACUGCAUCUUCCGCAUGGGCGGCGCAGCCGGGCUGCUGUCCAACCGCGCCGCCGACGCCGGGCGCGCCAAGUACCGGCUGCUCCACACGGUGCGCACCCACAAGGGCGCCGCGGACGAGUGCUACGGGUGCGUGUACCAGCGCGAGGACGGCACCGGCCGCGUCGGCGUGUCGCUGGCGCACGAGCUCAUGGCCGUCGCCGGCGACGCGCUCAAGACGAACAUCACGACCCUGGGCCCGCUGGUGCUCCCGCUGUCGGAGCAGCUCAAGUUCCUCAGGUCCCUCGUGCUCCAGCGGCUGCUCCGGAUCUCCCGUGGCGGCGGAGCCCGCCCCUACAUCCCGGACUUCCGGCGCGCGUUCGAGCACUUCUGCGUGCACGCCGGCGGCCGCGCCGUGCUGGAGGAGGUGCAGCGCAGCCUGGGGCUCAGGGACGCCGACAUGGAGCCCAGCAGGUGCACGCUGCACCGGUUCGGCAACACCAGCAGCAGCUCGCUCUGGUACGAGCUCGCCUACGCCGAGGCUAAGGGCCGCGUCCGGCGCGGCCACCGCGUGUGGCAGAUCGGGUUCGGCUCCGGGUUCAAGUGCAACAGCGCCGUCUGGCGCGCGCUCCGCGACGUGGCGCCCGUGCCCGCCGACGGCACCGGCGGCGGCAGCUGCAACCCGUGGGUGGACAGCAUUCAAAACUACCCGCCGAAAGCGUACAUCUGAGCGCGUCAUAUUCUUUGUGACUGAAUCGGUCACGCCGUUGCAUCAGUUGCAGCUGCACAAGAACUGUAUGAUAAAAAGAACACACAAGGCUAUAAUUUUCUUUCGUUUCUUGAUCAGGUUGGAGCUGCUGAAUCUUCUGCUACCUGUAGUGCAUUGAAGACAAGGGUGGCGUUACACAAUGUCUAUAAAUACUGUGCUGUGGUUGGUGAAUAGUUAGGAUAAUGAUGUGUGGAGAUCGCUGGACUGCUGCCUUUCUCAUUAAGUAGAUGGAGACAUCAGAUCAGAAGUGCCGUUGGAAGUUGUAACAGAUGCUGGUAGUAAUGUGAAUGUGUGUAAAUUAAUUUGAUUUUCCAUGAAAGACUGUAGUACUGAGAAGUUGGUCCAUGAAAGAGAGUGCUUUCAGGGCUGCCAAUCUUCACGGCAUUGAUUCACAGUGUUUACACUCGUCUCAAUCAUUCAUGCGAUUGGUGAGUGGGCUUGACAAAUCAGCUUGCUUGAAACCUUCAGCAGGUCCUGAUGUUUGGUCAACUUACUGAAAGAGUGCUUUCAUCAGCAGUCUCCGGCGGUCGAAAGCGUGAUUAUCGUUGGCUUGCUGUAGUAGGGACAAAAAAACAAUCGAGCCGUAGAACAGAUACAGAACUCAUCUAUAUAAAUAUACGCAUGCAAAUUCUACCCUAUAAGCCCAUAUAAAUAUACGCAUGCAAAUUCUACCCUAUAAGCUCAUACGAGAGACUGAGCCGAUAGAUUUUUAUAUUGACGAUGUGGUCAGUGUGUAGGCUUACCAAUCAGCAUAAUUUUAACGAUGAAAGGAGAUUGUAGCCUUUAAAGAAAGAGUGCUAUCACCGUCAGUUGAUGCAGGUGUAUCUAGAAAAUGAUGUUUUUAUUCGAGUUAUUUUUAUUUUUUUGUAUAUUAAUGCGAAUCAGUAUAUAUGUUUGAUGUUUCUACAUGCGUGUUCAUCUGGAGUAUAGUACAAGCUAGUCAAAGCUGCAAUUUGCCACGUAUUUACCCACUUCCAGUCAAGCUAACUUUUUUCCUCUGAACUAGACUGAUAUGAAAUCUUUUGCAGGGGCAUACAUAGGGCUGGUUUGGUUUACGCUGCUUAUUUUUAAGCACCCGUCACAUCGAUGUUUAGAUACUAAUUAGAAGUAUUAAACGUAGACUAUUUACAAAACCCACUACAUAAGCGGAGGCUAAACGGCGAGACGAAUCUAUUAAGCCUAAUUAGUCCAUAAUUUGACAAUGUGUUGCUACAGUAAAUAUUUGCUAAUGAUGGAUUAAUUAGGCUUAAUUAGGCUUAAUAGAUUCGUCUCGCCGUUUAGCCUCCACUUAUGUAAUGGAUUUUGUAAAUAGUCUAUGUUUAAUACUCCUAAUUAGUAUCUAAAUAUUCGAUGUGACACGUGCUAAAAAUAAGCAAACAGAACCAAACAGCCCCAUAGUCCAUAUUGAUCACUCGUCUCUGACAGUGACGACUGACGAGUGGCUUUAGUAGGUUGAGCCCCAAUGGGUUAUCCAAUUUGUAACCUUGAUGCAAUAUGUUUUCAUUGAUUAUUCGAUUUGCUAGCUCUAUCCCGUGGCCAUGGAUUAUAGAGGCAUACUCUACUUUUCCUUUUUUUUUUCCAAACAGGGCAUGGAUGUACUCCCAAGGUUUAUUCUUGUAGACGUACAGAGAUUUAAAAAUGUAUCCUAUUCAUUUGGUAGUGACAUGCACACAUCGUACACGAUACUUUGUUCAUAAUUUGGUGAGGUCGACAUCUUCAACGAUUCUGUGGAAAACAUCAAGUCCAGUUGAGCCAAGGUCAAGUGGUCAACCGGAGCAAGAUGUUGCUUCUAACUACUGUUGUAAACAAUGCAAUAAUACGAGCAAAAAAAAUUCCAACAAUCACAAAAUGAGAAGUACACAUGUAUUCUUCCAACAUGAUUUCACUAGUAUUGAACAAGAGUACACUACCAUGUUGCAGUACAGGUGUAUAACCAAAUCUGGAUACAAUAGUUUAGUUUAAACUUUAAACAUAGCUCUCAGUGCUACCUGACCCUUGCUUAUUCACAAUCAGACACUACCUUACUAACUCGGUACAACUACAACUAGUUAAAGGCCCUGAAGACUAUGCAAGAGCAUACAUCAAUGCUACUUAUCAAAACAAAGCAAUAGACACAGAAAGUGUAAAGCUACCACUGAAUAAUUCAAUGGCUUGAAAUGACAUGAGUCUCUCGAUCAGACCAACCAAUAUAUCACAAGGUGCUAAUACACAAGUAAAGCAGUAUACAAUUAACCACAACAUUGUGGCACAAAACAACAAGGUUUAAACUAAUCUUCACAGGAAAUUGCCCAAUUUUGUAAUGGUCUGGCUGCACUGAGCUUUUAUCAUAACAGAGCAAACAAGUAGUCCAGGUGAUGAAAACUCACAGCGCAAUACAUCGGAAGUUCCGCAGAAAAAAAAAUUUGGAAGUCCUAUCGGUAUGUUUGGUUGGAGGUAAUUGGUGGGAGAGAAAUGGAAUUUAGCUAUGAGAGAUUAAAAUUCUAUUGUUUGUUUAGAGGGUACGGGAGUUUUAGUGGAAUAAAGAAUAAGAGGUUAGAUGAGCAAUUCCCACCUAUCACUUCAUAGGGAGGGUGAGGAUUAUUUUAGAUGGAAGAUGGAUGCAUAUGCACCGUUAAUCAUGACUUCAGAUAUAAUUCCUCACCUCUAAACUCCCCCUCUUAAUUUUCUCGGAAAAACAAACAAGAUAAUAAUUCUCUUCGCCAAUUCUCACCGCUAAUUUCCAUGCCUCAUCUCCUUAGUUGUGAGAAUUGGGGAAGAAAAUUCACCCAUAGGAUUGCGGCGUGGACAGGACGUGAGCACAUCGAUUUCUUGCGGAGGCACGACUGAAGCCCAAAACACUGGUGUGGCGGGACAUUGACGUUGCACAUGACGGGUAACCACAAGGCAAGGCAACUGGGGAAUUUUUUUAUUUUUAUAUUAUUUUUUUUCAAUUUUGCAGAAAUAUAUAGUCGGAUGGAAAAAUCUAGACUGUUGCCGCCGGCCUAGGCGGCGGAAGGGCCUUACCGCCGCCUCAGCCGGCGGUAAGGCCCCCCACCAACAGUCAGCAACCGACGUAACUGCGGGCGCGUGAGUCGAGGCGGGCGGCGGUAAGGCCCUUCCGCCGCCUAGGCCGGCGACAGUCGCCCUUUAUAACCCGCCCCUACGCCCCUCCACUCUCCCCGUACCAGUGCACGCCCGCAGCAAGUCAGAGAAGGAAGAGGGAAGAGAAAGAGGAAAGGAGGGAAGGAAAAAAAAGAGAGAGGAGUGGAGGAGGAGGGAAGAAAAAAAGGAAAGAAAGGAGGAGGAGGUGGAAGAGGGAAGGAAUUUCUUCCAUCUUUCUUAGGUAAAUUUUUUUUUUAAUCUCAUAGUUUAGUAUAGUAUACUAUAGUAUAGUUUACUUUAGUUUAGAUCUAGAUUUAGAAAUAUUAGUAGAUCUGAGAUUUAGAAAUAUUAGUAGAUAUAGACUUAGAAGUAACAAUGGAUGUAGAUCUAGACUUAGAAACUUUUAAAUGUUUUUAGAUAGGAAAACGUAGCUUAGUAAGUAUAACUGAUUUAGCAUAUACAGUAAAGUAAAAUAGAGUCAGCAUUAUUAGAUUUAGUUGUUAACGUAAAUGGCUAGAAUAAAUGAGUUAUUAAAUUCUGAUUUUUUGGUUAGGUAUUCGAAUAGAGUUUUUCGAUAAUAAUAUUAGAUUUGUUUGUUCUGGUAACGGCAAUAAAUGUAGUGAGUAAAUUAUAACUUUUUAGUUAGGUAUUACAAUAUAGUUUUUCGGUAACAUUAUUAGAUUUAUUUAUUGUGGUGCAUGUCUAUGAUAAAGUUAGUUAGUAAGCUCGGUUUAGUGUUACAUAGUUGUUUGUUUAUUCAAUUGAGGUCGUUAUUGUAGUUAACUUAUGUAUAGUGCUGAGAAUAAUUUGGACUACCCGUUUCAUGUAUGUUGUCAGGCAUGUCGAAUAGUGUCAAUAUUCAAGUGUACUAUGGGCCGGGGGAGGUUAUAUAUGGUCCAGAAGGGGUAGAUUUGAGUGGAUUCCUCUAUUUCACCAAGUGUGUUCCAAGAGCAAGAUAGAGAACUUGGGGGGCAUAUGCAAGUGGCUCUGUAGGGACUUAGGUGUUGACAGAGAUGAAGCGGAUGUGUCAGUGAGGGUUGUAGUGCAAAGAUGGCCGGACAUAAACUUUUGGGAGUUGGUUCCGCUUGAAGGAACUCCGAGGUAUCGAGCUUACAUAGAUGGUUUCACGAGAAGAGGUUUACCAAUCAUAUGGUAUGUCCGAUUUUUCAUGAAGGGUGGACCUAGCACUCAUAUUGAAGAUCAAGUCAGAGGAGAUGAAGUUGAAGCGGAAGAAGAUGUGCAGAGUAUUGCGGGUGGAAACGAAGAAUUUGAUGACGAAGAACAAGAAGGUGGAGAUGCAGAACAUGAUGUAGCACCUCGGGAACCAAAUGGAGAGGCUGAUGUGGGGGAAGAAUUUCCUAAGUUAGUAGAGCAUAUGGAGAUGGAAGGAGGGGAGACCAAUGGUGCCAUGGUGGAGGACUCGUCGGAUGAGGAAGAUGAUUAUCCUGUACCGCGAAAUUGGUCAAAUUACGACCAUUCCGCCCUACAAGUCAAUGUGGGGGGAAAUAUUCUUUGGGAGUACAGAGAGAAUGAGGUAUGCGUGGGGGCUGUGUACCAAAGUGGGGAUGAAGUGAAGGUGGCUAUUAAGAGGUGGUCAUCUUUGUGUUUGCAGCGUCAGUUCAGGGUGGAAAAGAGUAGCCCGAAAGUGUAUGAUGUCUGUUGUGUGCGAAAUGAUUGCCCAUUCAGGGUGCAUGCAUACAAGGGCAAAUGGAAGGAUUACUGGGAGGUGACUAAAGUGGUUGAGCACCAAUGCUUGCUGGCUGAAUUGGAAGGAACACACCGCAACCUCACUGCUGAAUUUGUUGCUCAAUACAUGUACCCUCAGAUAGUGGAGAAUCCAAGCUUCAAGCCCAAGUCCAUUAUCUGUGCCAUAGAGGAGAAGUUCAAGUACAAGAUCAGCUACAACAAAGCUUACCGUGCUAAGCAGAAAGCGCUUGAGAUGAAGUGGGGUACGUUCGAAGCAUCCUACGACAACCUCGCUGCCUUGCUGCACACCAUUUGCCAGAGAAAUCCUGGAAGCUUCUAUGACUUGAAAUCAUAUCCAGUUCUUCAGUUUCCAGGCAAACAGGUCCUUCAGCGGUCAUUCCUUGUGUUGGGUCCUUGCAUUCAGGCUUUCCGGCUUUGUCGACCAGUCAUUUGCAUUGAUGGCACAUAUCUGACUGGAAGGUACAAAGGGACAAUAUUAACAGCUAUCGGGACCGAUGGAAACAAUCAAGUUGCGAUCGCUUCUGUGGAGAAGGAGUCUGGAGAUAGCUGGUACUGGUUCCUCGAGAGGGUCAAGAACAUGAUAGUGUUGGACGUCGAGGGGGUCAGUCUCAUUCAUGAUCAGCACAAAGGCAUUAUACAAGCAAUCGACGACCUACAAAAUGGAAGUCAAGAGCGUUUCAAGACGCCAAUAUGGUCGGACUUGAAGAGUAGGUGGCGCAUGAGGCAUAUGGGUGCAAACUUUCACAGCCAAUUCAAGAACAAGACCCUUAUGAAAUUGCUCAAGUGACUGUGUAGCCAGAAUUAGAAGAGGAAAUUCAACCUGCUAUGGAAGAAACUUGAGGACCUCACAAACAAGCAAUGCAAGGAACUAGUGAAGAAGGUGGUCAAUAGUGAGGCCGACCAACCUGUGUCUCUGGAGGAUGUCGGGCUCGAUGGUCCAAACGUCAGGCGAAGACGGGGAACAUCCAUCAAGACCUUCUCACAGUGGAUUGAGAAUGAACCGAAGGAAAAGUGGGCAUUACUCUUUGAUGAAGGAGGUGCACAGUGGGGUAUAAUGACAACAAACCUAGCUGAGGUUUACAACUAGAUCAUGCGUGGUGUUCAGGGCUUGCCCCUUGUUAGUAUUGUCGAAUUUUACCUUUACCGCACCAUGAAGUAUUUUAGGGAAAGGUACCAAUUGGCUGAUAACUCAAUGCGCGACAACCACGUAAUAUUUGGGUACAAGAUGAUAGAGUACAUGGAGGAAGCAAUUAAGAAAGCUCAUUUGCACUGUGUGAAAGAAGUGGGAGCCGUGGAACGCCGGCUCAAAGUUGUUUGUAGGGACAAAGUUCAAAUGGGCGGGAGGCGUGAGAGACACACACAUGAGUGCAUCAUCAGCAAUGAAGGUUGUAUUUGCUCUUGCCACAAGCCAAGGUUGCUGCACAAGCCUUGCACCCAUAUCAUUGCUGCAUGCUUUGAGGCGGGGGGCCUUCAACCCCGUCGUUUUGUGCCGCACUAUUUCCUCAAAGAAACCAUAUGGCAAACUUGGAGGAACGAGGUUUAUGGAUAUCGUUUGCUGGGAGACUUUGUCAAUAAUCCAGGUAAUACCGCCCACUACAUUCCUGAUCCUGAUCUAGAAAUGGUCCAAGGAGUGGGACGACGUGGGAACAGGCGUAUCUGUAAUGACAAGGAUCAAUCUGAAGCUGCUCCUGAUGUCCGUCUAUGCUCCAAGUGCCACGAAGCCGAUCACACCUACAAGAACUGCCCGGCAACGAUGUAUGCAAGUGCUAGCACCCAAUCUGCACCUAAUAACUACUAAUGUAAUGCAUCUAACGUCCUUAGGUAGUGUAAUAUAAUGUUUAUUUGAUGGUGUGGACAAGGACAUCAAGUAUUGUAAUAUUUAUCGUGGGCCCUUCUAUUUGUAAUGACUCGUAUGUGCUGUAGAGUUAUGAUGUUUAUUUGCAAUGUAACGUAAUGCAAUGUUAUAUUUUCUUUACGUGUUCAGUGCUUAUUUCUCUUAAUACUUGUGUUGCAGGUAUGGCGUUGCACCCAGGUCCACAGGGGACCAGACCCCUGAGUUGCUCGACCCUACCUUGGACGGCCAGCAUAGGUCAUUCCACUCGGCCGUAGUUGGUACCAACCUAGGCAUGUUUCAGGCUCGUAUUCCACUUGCAACCAUGCUGAUCGACCGACGUUGGAUCCCGAGGUAGAAAUAAUUAGUAAUACUUGUGUGUUAAGUUGAACGAUUAAUUUGUGUAAACUAAUUCAUUUAUUCUGUGGUACAAGUUGCAUGCGGCGAGCCUUCUUCCUGUGGCUAGGCUUGUGGAGGGCGACAUGGUCGACCGUUCAGCGCGACGUGGCCACGAGAGACCCACAUGGUUGCAGUUCGACAUGUCACUGCUAGCAGCUUUGCUAGACCGGUGGCGACCCCCACACUAGAGGACGUCUCGAUGCUACUGGGCCUUCCUUAUGCAGGGGUCGCCAUAGCCACGAUGGAUGUCCCCCCUGCCUGGCACGACGAGCUGCUGGGUCGCUUUGCGGACGUUCCCCGCGUAGACGGUGCCCCCCAGUACACCACUUUCAGCAGCUCCCACGGCCCGACGAAGGCUUGGCUUCAGUAGUUCAGGUGAGUUUCUAAUUACCAGCAACUACAAAUAUUCUUUGACCAUUUUUUAUUGUUGACACAAGUACGAAAUUGUUUUGCAAGCCGAGUAUGUGAGAGAGGAUGCAAACGACGCCACAAUAGCGCGUCACUUGGAGGCGUACCUGUUGUGGCUCUUCGACUGGACCCUCUUCUGCACGUCGUAGGGGAACUCGGUGCCUAAGCACCUUCUUCCUCACGUGAGGGCCAUUGCGGAGGCCCCGCUCGAUGAGGUUCCACAGUACAGCUAGGGUUCAGCUGUGCUGGCGGCCACGUACAGGGGUCUUUGCACGGGCUACGUGAAGGUGACUUCGACGGAGCCUAUCUUCCUUGGUUGCCCGCUGCUGCUUCAGCUUUGGGCCUACGAGCGGUUCCCGAUAGGGCGACCUCGUGUGGACAUGUCCCCCUACCCUGGAGGUUUUGAAGAGGACGACGUUGACAGACUCACGAUGGGGUCAUUGUGGUGCCUGAGGAGGGUAUGGUUCUUCCACCACUAUUUUUCGAUUCAUAUUACACUUUGGAAUUUCCGAGGUCCUAACUAAGAAAUUAUGAUUACAUUUCUUGCAGGCGGUGUGGACGGGGCUGCAGACAAAGAAGUCUUACCCGGACUUCAUCGGUAUGUUCGACGCUCUGGUCGACACUAACGUGAGGUGGAGACCCCACAGCUUCGAGGAGGUGGAGGCUCGUGCCCCGCAUGGCCUGUCUUCGCUAUGCCAUCGAUGGCGUACUGGAUGAUGAGGAGGCUAGUAGUCUUAGACAUCCACGUCGAGGACUACGCGGUUCACCGUGUCAUGAGGCAGUUCGGCUUGUACCAGGACUCCCCGCUUCUAGCAACGUCAGCGGUUCCGGCUUCCGUUCACAGGUACAGUCCAGCAUUUUCAUUCUUCUUGCAUUAAGAAUAUUUUGUUUAUGUAACUCGUGUAACGAUGGUUCCAUUAGGGCUAGCCGUCAGGGUGGUGGUGGUGGUGGGCCUAGAGUCCUAUGGGCUACGAGGAUGGUUCACUGGGUCGCCCUGUGGGCGACCGCACUAGACGAGGUGGUCCAGGAGACCCGGCCACACGACGCAGACGCUUUCACAGCGUACCUUCACUGGUUCUUACCGAGGACCAGGACGCGGGUUCAGCAUGUUCCGGCGGAGCCACCGACGGAGACCGCUCCAGUCACCCAGACGUACCCUCGCGCAAGAGACGUCAACUACGACCGAGCGGUGGUGUGACUAACUUGAAAUUUUUUCGCUCCCCAACAGAUUGACCUUAUAGGGGAUUUGGACAGGCAGCUGACGUACAGCAUCGAUAACUUCCCCAUAUGAAUUUGGUUCAGCAACGAUCGCUACUUACGAGGGCCAGAGACGGCUGCAGCGGGUUCCUCAGUGCCGUUACCUGCCGUGGUGGGCACGGGGACGUCGUCCGUCCACCACAACCUCCGUACCCCCGUGCAUCCACUCCAGCUCCUACUCAGUAGGCUGGUACGUCCUCUCACCAGCCCAUUCAUCCGCCAGCAGCCGGCACCUCCUAUGACAUACCACCACCACCACCACCACCGUCUUGGCAUGUCACAGCAGGUCCGUCCACCGUUUCGCAAAUGCAAUACGCAUGGUCCUCUUGUCCUUCUUCAGCUGCACCAGAGCUACGACCAGCAGGUGCGUGAUGUAUACAUAUUGUAACUCCAUUUUAAGAAUGCAACGAAACUAACUAAACCGUUUCCUUUGUGAUUGUAACAGGCUACGUAGACCAGGGAUGGCAUUCGGAGGACUCGCACGACGAGGCAGCGAGGUCCAGCGGCAGUGCUUGGAUCGAUGACCUUUUCAGAGUGGACCCCGAUCUGCUCGGUCCCUCCCAGCUGGCAGAUGCCCCGGGUCCUACACAGGGUGCGACCUAGUUCCUCGGGACAAAACGGGUCCCACACAGGACGCGUCAUCCCAAUACCUCGUGACACCUCCUGUGGAGGGAGUGGGAGGACGUCCGACUCGCGACGUUCACCCACCGAAGCCCUGGACGUACAACCGGCAGCAGACCAGAGCAGCACAGCGGGCAGCGAGGCGUGGUCGUGGUGGCGGCGAGCCUCGUUUCAAGCGAGGACGCAUUUAGUGCGUAGGGCGACUUCUUAUUUUUUAUCAUUUGUACGAUUACGAUGUGUACGAUUAUCUUUAUGUGCGAGGACUGCUCUGUCUACAUAAUAAGUUAAAUGCUUUUCAUUGUUCGCGUGCGUUUACUAUACAAGUCUAAACAUUUCCCAAUUAAGAAUUAGAAGCACACAAUUAAAAUAAUUGAUAACUACGAAUGAAAAUCGUGCGGCAAAUAACGGAGUACAUGACCUAAGCACAACACAAUGAAAGGUCCAACAGUACACAACAUUAUCCAUGAAUAAAACAUGGACACAACCGCACACAAUGGAGUAGUAGCCAAUAACAGAGCCUAUUGAGUACAACGAGGCCACUUUCCCUUCCUCAGGGCAUCGGGGUUCUCCUCCAUCGCUGCUUUCACUCGGCGUGCACGCUCAAGCUUCCUCUCCCUCAUCUCCCUCUCCGCAGCAAGACGCCUCCUUUCCUCCUCUUCCUUGUGCUCUUUCUCUGCAGCCUCCUCUCUGAGCCUCUUCUCCAUCCUCUCCUUGCUCUCUGCCGCCCACUGCAACAUGUACUGCAUGUGCUCCAUGUCCUCAGGCUUGAUCUCAAUGUCAAUCCACUUCUCAAAAUCACAGAGCGGUGGAGGGGUCUGCAAAAAUGUAUUUAUUACAAAACAAAAAAAGCAUGCAAGAUGUCAUAUGGCACAAAAUAAUUAUCGCACAACAUCAAUUUUUCACCAUCUUGUUAAUGCGGCGCUGACAAAGUAUAGGCUCAAACGCAAAGUUGGAAGACAUCCAAUACCUCUGCCUAUACGUGUCCUUUUCAUCGGACUUGGCUACCUUGCAAGGAUCGCCACAAAAACACAUGGGCACUGGAACACCACUAGGCAGAGGCAAACGGUCGAAGGCAUUUCCGGUCAACGGAACACCACUCCACCUUUACUAUUUUCGUUGUAAGAACCGGAAGCAACUAAGAUUAAAUCAUAUGACUACCGGUUAAUGUAUGGUUGAAUAACGUGUACUGAGAUUACCUUGCUUUACCAGCUUUUUCACGCCUUGGCAUCCUACGGUUGUAUAAUAAAAUAUUAAAAAUUCAUGAAAUUAUACUAGUAAAUACUUCUAGAUCUAAAUACUAAACUAUGAACUGAAAACCAAAUGUACCAUACUAACUAAGCUACAUUUUUAACAUCUAAAAACACACAAAAUAUCUAUAGAUCUAAAUACUAAACUACAAAAUAAAUAUCGAAUCUACUAUACAUACUAAGAUAGAUUUUUAGCAUCUAAAAGCACAAUGUAUUUUUAGCUUUACUAUACUACGAUAUUGAAAAACUUACCUGAAUCCUAGGAGAUUUCUUCCCCUUCUUUCCUCUCUUUCUUUCCUCCUUCCCUUCCUUCUCUCCCUCUCUGGUUCUCCACUCAAAAACAACAGGAGAGCUGGGUGGCCUGGAGGCAAGGCUGCGCGGGGGAGGGGGGGUAAUGUACCCCGCCGGGCCAGGCGGCGGUAAGGACCCUUACCACCCGCGCGCUGGCCGUACCGUGGCGGAGCAAGGGGACCGGGUCCUUACCGCCAGCCCAAGCGGCGGAAGAGACUUAACGCCGGCUGGGUCGGCAGUAAUGACAUGGGCCGGCGGGGUCGGCGCCUUACCGCCAGCUGAGGUGGCGGUAUGGCCCUUCCACCGCCUGGGCCAACGGCAAUAGCCCAAAUCUGCAAUUUUUCCAUCCGACUAUAUAUUUCUGCAAAAUCUAAAAAAAAUAAUAUACAAAUAAAAAAAUUCGCAACUGGGCAACGCGGGCUGCAACGACACUAGGCGGCCCAUGGACGCAGUAAAAUGCAGAAAGGUCAUUCUACGUUGGAGAGCACGGUAAAAAUUGAUGAUGGAUCCAAAAAAGAACAAGCAUCGCAUGUCGGUACGUCAAAGUAGCAAAGUUGCUGUCGUUGCUCCUUUUUCUUCCGACCUAAGAUUAGGUAUAUUCAAAACUAAGAAAAUUUCCACAGAAUAUUGAAAACCUGUGCCACUAGCAAUUCAUUAGAUUUUCUUAAAAAAAAGAGCCAUACAACAACUUGUCACGUAGGUGCAAAUUGGUCCAACAAAAUCUAGUACAAUAACUUGUCAGAUGGGUGCAGAUUGGUCCAACAACUUGUAAAAUGCUCAAUUUAGUGCAAUAACUUGAUAAAUUGGUGCAUCUACAGUCCAAACGUUACAACGAGAACGUAAUAAGCAAAGUAGAUGGGCAUGUAAAUUUUAUUCCAAUCAAUAAUUCUUAUUUUUUUGUCAAUAAAAGUCGUUGAUCGUAACCUGUCUGUUGCUACUCAAUUGUGUACGUAACUUAUCUGUUCAUUAGUUAAAAUUCAAUAAAAUUUUAGAAUUCCGCCAUUGGUAUUACUGAAAUACUAAAGUCCACAAGAGAGAUCCUCGGAUCUUAGGUUUCUUUGGUGCCUAGGUUUCUUCUGUGUUUCUGCUCGUGUAUUUAACAAACGUAGAGAAACAUGUAUGUUUUGAAUUUCGCUCAAUUUUACUUUCUAAACAAGUACAUUUGGCUUUAAAAAAUAUUUACACCAAAUUUUUAAAAGAUAUUGUUAGUAUGCAUUAAUAUAUUGUUUUUUUAGCUGGAUAAAAAUGCAUAUAAUCAAAAUGUAAAACAUUGAGGGUGAACUUAUCAAUAUUGAUACAAAAUUAAAUAUUUCUAAUCAAAAUUUAAUUAUUAUAUUAAAAAAUAAUUAAUACGAAGACGUAACAUUAAUUUCGUAAACAGUGAAGGUUACUCAUGCGACACAUAUCAAUGGUAAAAAUGCUCAAUAAAUUUAUUCUGACGUGAAUAUCCUCUGACCCAUCAUUAGCAAAUAUGUUCUUGUUACAACAUUUGGACUAUGGAUGCACCGAUUUACCAAUGUAAUGCACUAAUCUAAGCAUUUUACAUGUUCUUGACCAAUCUGCACCUCUUUUACAAGUUGUUGGACCAAUCUGCACCCAUCUGACAAGUUAUUGUAUUAGAUUGAGCCUUUUACAUGUUGUUGUACCACUCUGCACCCACCUGACAUGUUGUAUGGUGAAUGCAAUUUAGUGUUGUGGUUGAAUAUCCGCACAAAGAAAAAAGUUCGAUAAUGUAAUAGAUUCCACUAGUGAAUAAACUUUUAUUGAAAAAAGAUAAUCACAAAAAAAAAAUCCGAACCAAAGAGGAAAUUUGUUCUAAGAACGUAUCAUAAUAGUUCUAAGAUUUUAGGUCAUAACCUUUGCAUACUAGCGAGCAGUUCAGGUGCUGAACUGCUGUCUUGGAUACUGAUUGGAAAUGAAGAUUUCAUUGCGUAAGGAAUCUUAGCAUUGAUAGGCGCUACUCCCUCCGUAUCAAAAUAUUUAUCGUUAUUGAUUUUUUCUUGCAACCUUUAACAUUCGUCUUAUUCAAAAAAAUUAUUAUAAAUGUACAAAAAGAUAAGUCAUGCUUGUAAUACCUAUGAAAGUAAAGUAAGCCACAAACAAAAUAGAUGAUGCUUACAUAAUUUUUGAAUAAAAUGAAUAGUCAAACAUCAUGACCAAAAGUCAAACAGCCUAUUUCGCCCACUAGGCUCAAUUGUGUAUCAUUGAGUUUUUAUCCAUCCACGAAGAUGUUUAUGCCCAGCUUCUGAGCUGUCCCUCAGCAGAGGAUUUUAUUGAAUACCUGUUGAAUUCUUUUGGUGCAGUUGUUCUUGUUUCAGGUCCACUGACUCUUGUGUGCACUAGCACUUUCUUUUAUUUUCGUUUUCUUUCUAAUGAAAAAUAAAAGAAAAAGGGCCAGCUCCUUGUGUGCUUACACUUUUUUUUUAAGACCGGAAGCAAGCCAUCUCGCGUCAUUAACGAAAGGAAAGAAAAAUACUACAGGAAUUUAAGUGGACAAAGAUAUGAAAUGAAUCAUAUGAAAUCUUGCUGCCCGCUUCCACAUCUGAUUUAUGUCGUAAGCAGUUUUUGAACGUGCAGGUGUUGAAACUCAUGUCUAUUUCUCUUAAUAUUAAAGUAAAAAGACUUGUAGCUUUACCAAAAGUUCCUAGAAGGAAAAUAAAUAAAUUUCAGUGAGUGCUUAGCCAAUUUUUUUUGUUAAAAAAAGAUUUCCUUUUUUCUUUGUGCAAGCUAGCAGUCAUUGUCCCUCCGAUGGACUACUGCUUGCACGAAUCUUGACGACGCAACUGAACAAGCAAAGUCGUGCUCGAGGGCAGGUUCAUUAAUCAGUACGUGACUUUUACAAAGGGUUCUGAUCCCGUAUAUUCUGUCAGUGACGCUUCCGAUCUUGUGCAAGGGAAAUAUAGAGUGGGGUGUGGCGAUGAACUUAACUCAGCAGCAGAAAAAAUGGAGGGAGUAAACUGCUACUGGUCUUCGUUACAAAAGUACCGACUCUCAUUUACCUGAAAUGCACAAAGGUUGUCAGCCUAGAUGAGAAAAAUUCGUUUCAAAUCAGGCAUCAAAUUGUGCUAGCAUGCUCAGGGACACUGGUUUGUACAUUUUCUUUGUAACAUAUCAACACAUUAAACAUUUGGAUACACAAUGGUGAAAUGUAGGAACUACUGAGUAGUGUUGUCAGCACAUAGGCACAUGUUACAAAGCAGACCAAACAUAGCUUGCAUGUGCAACCAAGUUAGUGUAACCUAUCCUAUCAGCAAAAAUGAUAACGGAGGCAACUCAAGUCAAAACUAGCUCGACUCCUUUUUGAAGCCUUUGUGACAGAGUCAGGAUAAAUGUCACAGGCUAAAAUGUUUACAUUAAAAUAAAAUUGCAGAUAAUGGUAAUGGUAAUGGUCAUGGUUGGUUUUGCUGAACAAUUCGAAGUUGAAAAACUAAAGCUUACCAUAAUUUUGGUAUUUCUUCGAGAAGUUAUAUAAAGCUUUCACAACGGCACCAUAUUUCAUUGAUUUUAGUGGUCCCAUAUGCCUGCAAAAAGAAAAUUUUAGAGAUCUCUCAGUUGUCGAAAUAAACUAUCGAUGCUAUAUAAUUUCUCAAUCAGAAACCAGAAAGAUUAAUUAAUGUGUUGGUGGAAAACUUACAUAAUUUCAGUAUACCGUAAUCUCCAUGCAGGAAAGCCAAAAUGACAUCUAGCAGGACCAUACAUGAGAAGAAGAUCAGGUUCUGGUCCACCACAACCUAAGAUGAAACCAGAACUUAGAUGCUCCUUGCGUUAUGAUAAUAUAGUAAUCACUAACCAAUGAUAAAUAAGUAAUAUCAAGCAGAGCAUGCUGAAACAUGAAAACAAGGAAAGUUUUCCAAGCAUACCUACAGCUUUCAGCGCACUGGCCAUGUCAGCUUCUGUAAAUGUUGGCUCCGUUUUGCCAUCUCCAUGAGUAUCACCAUUUAAGUAAGUUGAGCAAAGUAAAUUGGCUGCUUUAGCAAUACCCUCCUUGCCAUCAGAACCAGAAAGACACUCUAUUGCCAAAUCCUUGUGGCUAGAGUGUGAAAUGCUUGCACUAAUACCCUACAUGUUGCCAUGAACAGUGAUACAUAUUAACAGUAAAAACAAUCAACAAGCCAACUAGCAGAGAAUAUGCACAAAGUAAGGGAAGCUUAAUAUCGUAAGUUACCAGAUAUUCUCCUACCUUCCCAUCUCUUGAACCCUCCAUAGCCGGUUCAAAUGAUUUCUUCAUGACUCCUAUGAUGCAACAUAUAAUAGUAAGAUAAUAAAUAUUAUGUGUGCUAGAUAGAGCCCACGGGUCUCGAGGAAAAAAGAGAGAGAGUACAUGCAUCUAUAACUUAAAACAUCAGAAGACAAUGCCUAAGAGCAACAGGGCAGUUAGUUUUGUUCACUCUGCCACUAUCCCAACUCUCGAGUAUUGUAACAGCCCAGUAUUGCUGCUUAAAAUCACUUAAGUUCUUAUAAAGCAUGUUCAUUUACAAAAAAGAAAUUAUCAUAUAGGUAGAUUAGCAACCAAGGAUGAACUUCAAACUGAAAUCACAUAUCAUAGAAUUCAAAUGAUGAACUUAUUAGUCUUACCCUCAAUGUCGUAGAGACAUAUAUACUUCACACCCAUAGUUGAGAGCCAGCACAAUAGCUGCCUGAUCUUCACGGUAUUUUUAGCUUCUUUGCUAUCCACCACAAUAGCCAAGUACUUCAGUCGAUCCAGGUGGAGGUACCGAUACCUCCGCAACAACCCAGAUGAAAUAAUAUAGCAUUCUAGAUUAUAAAUCAGAAGAGACCAUAAAUUAAAAAGCCUGAUUGCCAAGUGGAUGAUGCCCCAGAUCAGCCCCAAAAUGAGCUUAAGAAUAAUAGAUGGUCUAGACAUCUGCACACAGAGCAAUUACAACUUGUCAUGCUCUCAUUUCUGUGAUCAGGUUAUGCACUCCACGGGAUCACAGAAAUAUAUCUAAGGAAAUACAAAAAAUGUUAGUAAGGUUUAGAUUCUAACUCUCAACGCAUUCAGAUAAUUUGAUGUCAACAUGCAUUUACUGUUCUGGCUUGCAUAACAGCAGCUGAUAGAUGUACACUUGUCACAUUGCAUCAUUCAUAUUGCUUAUGCACCCUAGUGUUAGUUUAUAAUUUUCAACUCUCGAUUGCCAAACAAACACAUGAUAAUGGAGAACAUGGCUGAACCUGAAAGAAAUUAUUUUUUUAUUAAAAAUAAAUUGCUCACUCAGUACUGUUAUAGUAUUAUGUGCAUGGACUUGCAGCAAUUAAGCUCAGGUAACCACAAAAGCAUGAUUGAUCUGAACACCUAAAGUUUCAACAGAGGUUAUUGCCUUAUUGGGCAUGGCAAAGUAUGACUCAUAUAAAAAAAUCAACGGACAAGGUUUAAGAACUAGACACUGAUCCUCCACCUGGCUCGACUGAAGUACUUGGCUACAGUUGCAGAAUCAGUUGCCGGUGCUGCUGAAUUGGAUGGCGGUGUUACUGAAUUGGCUGCAACACAUCGUCGAGUUUGAGGAUGAGAACCCACCGAUUGAGAUGCAGCAGCAGCGUGAGACCCACUUGAAGCACCAGGAGCUGACAUUGCUCACUUCCUUACAAAUGCAAAAAGGCAAACACACAUCAGUUGAGUCUCUGUACUAGUUUUGACACAGAUGAUGCAUGAAAUUCGAGAUCUAGGGAAGGGAUGUGCCGUCGUACCUCCUGGACUGCUGGAAUCGCGGCUGGGUGGAGGAGCAGGAGGCGGGGUGUCGCCGUGCCGGGGUGGAGCGGGCGGGGUGCCGGGGACCCGGGGUGGUGCGGCCGGGGUGCCGGGGACCCGGGGUGGAGCGGCCGAGCGAGCGGGGUGCCGGCUAGGUGCGGCGUGCGGGGUCGGGACGGCGGCGGGGCGCGGCCUCGCGAGACGCGUGCGGGAGAGGCCGCGCGGGACGGCGGCGGGGUGGGGGUGCGGGGGGUGACUGGGUUGGUGCGGAGUGCGGUCGGAUAAGGAUGUUGCCGAGUUAUAUACUAGGGUUGCUAAUGGGUCUUUAGUGGGCCCAAUGGUUUCGGGUCUCGAUGAAGCUCCACGCGUGAUUUUAAAAGCCCACCCCAAACCCGCGCUAUUUUGGGUAACCGUGGAUAAAAAUUAGGAAUCAAAACCGAAACCCGCGGACCCGACUCGCGGAUAUCCGCCUCGACACCAAUCUGUAUUGUUGUAAAAUGUGUAGCUAUUUAAGUAUUUAUUUGUAUAUUUAGUGCUACACUAUGAGGCAUCUUAACCGUCUAGUCGGUCAUCUAGAUUGUGUUGUUGAAGUAUAAAAAAAUUAUCCACCUUUUUUACAAUAACAGUAACCUUUUAGGUUGAGUCAGUCGGUGCAUGCAAGCUCAAUAUUGUGUAGAAGAAGAAAUGAAGUAGAGACCAUAGAAAAAAGUUAAUGCAUAUAUGGGACACAUCAAUACAUAACCAUACAUUUUUUAUGCUAUUUAGUGAAUUUAUUUGAGGAUAGAAUGGAAGAAUAAAACAACAUUUUUUUUACCUCAGGAAGGUAUGCCUUAUUUUUUUAUAAUUUCUUGAAAAAUAUAGUGCAACUAUGAAAACUUUGCAGCUAUUUAAGUAUUUAUUUGUAUAUUUACUGCUACACUAUAAGAUGUCUUAAUCGUCUAGUUGGUCAUCUAGAUUGUGUUGUUGAAGUACAAAAAAAAUUAUCCGCCUUUUUACAAUUCAAUAACCUUUUAGGUUGAGUCAGUCGGUGCAUGCAAGCUCAAUAUUGUGUAGAAGAAGAAAUGAAGUAGAGACCAUAGAAAAAGGUUAAUGCAUAUAUGGGAGACAUCAAUACAUAACAAUACAUUUUUUCUCUCACCAUCAGACUAACUGACAAAGUGAUAAUAAAUAACACAUGCAACUUAAAGAAGAUGCAGAUACUACCAAAUUAAAAAUUUUGGAUAAACAUUGGCUUCCAGGAAAGAAAAGGGGAAAAACUCUAUAUUAACCCAUAACUAGGUGAGUGCACGUGCGGCACACACUAAAAGUAAACAAGAAUUUUAUAUUCAUAAAACAUAGAUACAUGCACCAUGGACAUAUUCAAUAACAAAAAACAUACCCAUAUAAAAAUAGAAAAUAUACGGAAUUUAACAUUACUCGUAUACAAUGCUAAGUGUUGGACCCCAAUCACCUAGUUGGAUACCAGCAAGCUGCAAAAUUUGUGUCAUUCGUAGUGGUACUGCAGUGAGUUUUAUUCGUUAGGAAAGAACAACCAAAUCAGAGAAAAAAACUUAUUCGCAUGUUCUUGUCAAGAAUGCUAAUGCUAGGGUUUCUAUCAUGUUUGAGAUUAAUUGGAACAUGUGAUAUUGUUAUGUCAAUAAAUAAUCAAUCAGGUGACAAUAGAAGGAAAAUUCAGAAGACAGUACCCAAACCUUUAAUUGCAGGUGGAGAUGGAGCACAAAAUAAUCUCUUUUGAUCAAUCACAAGUAUUAGCAAUGAUAGAGGAGGGGAUCGGCUUACACCCAAACCUCAGCACAGAAGCCUUUCCACCCGUGCCCAUGUUGUGCAAAUCAUAUUUGCAUCCUGUGAAGUUGUAGGCAGGUAUGCCUCAAUGUGCAGGGCCUGGCUGGCGAUGGCGCCAACCAGGGAGUGGAGGCGAGGCCACUACCCGGUGACGAGUGGCGGUCAGGGAGCGGGGACCAGGAACGAUGAAUGUGACCGCGGCCCAGCGAGACCUUAUAGCGCAUGCCCCGGGCGGGUGUGGCACCGCGUGGUGACGAUAGAAAAACAGAAACAGCGGAAACAUUUUAGAAAGCAUCAAUCUUUUCUGCUUUCACAUCCCUCUAACCUGCGCAGUAGGUUCAUUGCGAGGGAAAUGUUUUCAAAACUACUGGAUCUUUAUAGUAUAGAUUUUGACACGCUGAAAUUAAACUCCAAAUUGAGGGUGCUCUCUCACUCACCUUCUAACAAAGAAGCCCAUGUCCAACUCUAAUCACGAACCUCUUCUUCAAAGAAGAAACUCUAAUCAACAACCCCGUUUAAUUUCCCAACGCUGUUGAGACGCCAUUGGAGCACGUACGAGGCACGCCGCGACCUCAUCGGCUACCCCAAAAGCCAAAGAGAGAGAAAGACCUAGAGAGAGAUGAUGAGCACAGUGGCACAGUGUCUUCAGUCUCUCUCGCUGCCAGCGAGCAGGAGUAUACUGACGUGAAGCUUUUCUUGUCGCCAUGGGUGAGUAGGCUCGUCGCCUUUGCUGCACCGUUGUCCUCUCUGCAGGAGUACUCUUUUGGUUGGGGGCUCCUUUUGCUCUGCGGCCUCCACGUUUGUACUGCUCUCUCGAGCCCUCGACGACGAUGGCGGUCCAGAGGACUGCAUGCCCUGUCGUUUGCUCAGUGACGGCCGGACGGGAUCCUAGCGGGAUGGGAUUCGAUGCGAAAUCAAAUCUGAUAGUACCUUUUAUUAUAUUAUAAUUUGAAUUCUAAUAUGAAUUCAAAUAUUCUUCAUUUAAAUUCACAAGGGGGGCCUCGGGCCUGCAUGAUGAGCAGUGGCGGACCCAGGAUUUCAGAGUAGGGUAUGCCCAUUGCAAGAAAAUAUUUAGACGAACGACAUAAAAAGUUCACAAGGGAAUAAAUAAAACAUACAUAUAGUUCAAACUAAAUGUAUUCCAUAACAAACUGUGAUUAUAAAACAUUAGAAGAAAAUUACAAUUUAAUUUUAACUUUCCGAUCCCUCAUUGCUUGAUACCGAUUGAUGAUGUCAUUAUCUUUGACUUGCAAAAAGAACUGACGCUCAAUAAAGGUUACCAAACAAUCAUUCAAGUACUGAUCUCCCAUCCUAUUUCUCAACUUGUUCUUCACAUGAUUCAUUAUUGAAAACACUCUCUCUACGGUAGCAGUCGCUACAGGUAACACUAGCACAAAUUUGAGAAGUCUGUACACAAGAUCAUGUUUGUUGUGCUUAUUUGUCUAAACCAAAUGUCAUUUUUGACUUCUUCAUGUCAACUGUGUGAGAUUGAAAUGCA